AACGAACGCUGGCGGCAUGCCUAACACAUGCAAGUCGAAAGAGUAUGGUAUAGCUUGCUAGAACCCAGCUAGUGGCAAACGGGUGAGUAACGCGUGGGAACCUUCCUAAUAGUACGGAAUAGCCGUUGGAAACGACGAUUAAUACCGUAUAUUCACUCAGGGGGAAAGAUUUAUCGCUAUUAGAUGGGCCCGCGUUGGAUUAGCUAGUUGGUAGGGUAAUGGCCUACCAAAGCAACGAUCUAUAGCUGGUCUGAGAGGAUGAUCAGCCACACUGGAACUGAGACACGGUCCAGACUCCUACGGGAGGCAGCAGUGGGGAAUAUUGGACAAUGGGCGAAAGCCUGAUCCAGCAAUGCCGCGUGAGUGAUGAAGGCCUUAGGGUUGUAAAGCUCUUUCAGUAGGGAGGAUAAUGACGGUACCUACAGAAGAAGCACCGGCUAACUCCGUGCCAGCCGCCGCCGUAA
rnacentral:rRNA from 1 species